GUGUUAUUCGAGAGUUAUAUAAUAACCCAGCAAUCCAAACAAAAAAAAAAUCUUGAAGCAUGUGAGUGGCAUGUGAGAUAAGAGGAGGAAGAAGACUCCGGUUAGGAGUCUUCUUCCCUCUUGAUUUCCGAUAAGAUCGGGGCCAUGUGAGUCCUGGCUAGCAUAGGAGACCCCCUCUAUAAGAAGCCCUCUCCCCCCCC
rnacentral:lncRNA from 1 species